rnacentral:rRNA from 1 species
AUUGAACGCUGGCGGCAGGCCUAACACAUGCAAGUCGAGCGGAGCGGCGGACGGGUGAGUAAUGACUAGGAAUAUGACUGGUAGUGGGGGAUAACGUCCGGAAACGGGAGCUAAUAUCGCAUACUCGUAGAUGAGACUAGGCCGGAUUAGCUAGUUGGUGGGGUAAAGGCGUACCAAGGCGACGAUGCGUAGCUGGUCUGAGAGGAUGAUCAGUCACACGGGAACUUAGACACGGUCCAGACUCCUACGGGAGGAAUCAGUGGGGAAUAUUCGACAAUGGGCGAAAGCCUUCUCCAGCAACGCCGCGUGGGUGAAGAAGGUCUUCGGAUUGUAAAGCACUUUAAGUUGGGAGGCGUUACCAACAGAAUAAGCACCGGCUAACUUCGUGCCAGCAGCCGCGGUAAUAC